rnacentral:rRNA from 1 species
GAUGAACGCUGGCGGCGUGCCUAAUACAUGCAAGUCGAGCGAACGGACGAGAAGCUUGCUUCUCUGAUGUUAGCGGCGGACGGGUGAGUAACACGUGUAUAACCUACCUAUAAGACUGGGAUAACUUCGGGAAACCGGAGCUAAUACCGGAUAAUAUUUUGAACCGCAUGGUUCAAAAGUGAAAGACGGUCUUUCUGUCACUUCUAGAUGGAUCCGCGCUGCAUUAGCUAGUUGGUAAGGUAACGGCCUACCAAGGCAACGAUGCAUAGCCGACCUGAGAGGGGGAUCGGCCACACUGGAACUGAGACACGGUCCAGACUCCUACGGGAGGCAGCAGUAGGGAAUCUUCCGCAAUGGGCGAAAGCCUGACGGAGCAACGCCGCGUGAGUGAUGAAGGUCUUCGGAUCGUAAAACUCUGUUAUUAGGGAAGAACAUAUGUGUAAGUAACUGUGCACAUCUUGACGGUACCUAAUCAGAAAGCAACGGCUAACUACGUG